AAAGUUGUAUCUAAAUAUUGUUGUCUGUUCAUUUGCACAGUUAUGGCUGGACGUGAUGAUCAACAUGUUGCUGUUUGUACUUGUUUGAGCAGUGACUGAAUAAUUCUCUGCAGGCAUACAGUCCAAUUGCAACGACCACCGGACAGAUCAAGUGGAGGUUCAUCAAUCAUCUCAAUGAUGUGCAAAAAAAAUACCAAUCAAAUCACAGACAAACAUGUCUACUUUGAGAACCACAAGAGGAGGGUGUCCCUGGCUGCACAAACACUGAGUCGCUCCGGGUCAGUUGCUCUCCGCACAAUGAGGGAUCUUAGGUACUCUCAGUUUAAAGACUGUGAGGCAACGGCAGAAUUCAUUGAGGCUGUUGACACAAUGAAUGGACGCAAUCCUCGUGCCAAAGGAUUCAAAUCUCUCUUGGAUGCUUUGAAUUGGAUAGAGAGGAAAGCAUUUUUGUCAAGAGCCAGGGAGUACUUGCUCACUUUGGUGACAAAAGAUGGAACACCACUUCACCGAUCUAAGAGGUCUAUUCAAAUAGUGCUUGUUAUUCAUGCAUGAAAAGUUCACGACAUGAGUUCAACGAUACUCUGUUCCGUUAUGCAUUGAGUUCAUAAGAUGCUCUGUUCUCUACAUCAGGUUCAUAUGAUGCUACUGUUACAAUGUGUUUUCCUUUAGUUUGGUCUGCUAACAUGAUGCUCUUUUAUUUCAAUGUUUUUCUGUGUUCAGUUUUGUUUGUUGGAAUGAUCUUGUUUUCAUUGUUUUUGAGGUCCCAGAUGCUUCUAAAUAGUAUGUAUUACACAACAUCAAGUUUUGCAGGUGUCAGAAGGAGGGUAUGUAUGUUGAAAUGAUGUUCUCUUGUUUCAAUGUUUUUCAAUCUGCAGUUUUGUUUCUAUUUGAAUGAUCUUGUAUUCAGUGUUUUUGAGGUCCCAGAUGCUUCUAAUGGUACGUAUUACACAACAUCAAGCACAUGUAGGUGUCAAAAUGGUAUGUAUUGCAUGUGUUCUUGCAUGUGUUCUUGUUCUCAAGUUAUCCAAGUUCUGCAAUUACAUUGUUCCUAGUUAGCUAAGUGUCCUACAAGUAUACUGUAUAUGUUUUGCCAUGAUCAGAGUAAUAAAAUGUUUUUCUUUUGCAGGUACUUGUCAGUCAUCGGAUUUGUCAUUAACAUUGACACGUUGAUGCUGAUGAUUCCUGAACUGCUCCAAGUUCAGCGGUAUGUCCUCACCUACAGGUUCAGCCAGGAUCACUUGGAGCUCCUAUUUAAUUCCAUCAGAGCGUCAGGUGGCUGGAAUAACAAUCCAUCUGCUCGCCAGUUCCAGGCCAUCUUCCGCCGUCUGAUGGUUCGGUGUGGUGUUUCAUAGUGAGACAGGCAAUGUGGCAGCCCAAGAUCACACUGUGUCCCUGUCUGCGGUAGAGAUGUCCUCUGCUGAAACUGCUGAAGAGCACCCAUCUCCAUUCGCCAACAUUUCGGCUGUUGUGAGUGACCACAGCUAUCUUCCCACUCGGUUUGGUGGUCUGGUGGAAAAUGCCCUGCUGGUCUACAUCGCAGGAUUUGUAGUCCGGCAGAUUCUGCGAAAGCUGUCCUGUGAUGUGUGCCGUGCAAGCUUGGUCAGAGAUGCUGUACCUUCAUCAUUUGAUGAGAGCUACCACCUUCUAGCCCUGAAAAACAACGGUGGCCUAGUGAUUCGAUCACAAGGCACAGUGAAGGUGCUGAGAGCUGCAGAGAGGGUGAUUCGCCAAGCUUCAACAAGGCAAGCUCCAAAGGUGUCGACAGUCACCUACAUCGUGCGGGAGGAGAUUGGAACGAAGGAUGUUUUUCAGCUUGGGGAACACAUUGAGGAGAUGCAGUUUGGCAUCGACAACCAUUAUUCAAACUUGUUGUCAUUGGUUGUGUCUGUGUUUCUGAAAAUAAGACUACACCACAUUGCCAAACUCACCUCUCUUGACCUGCAGAAAGGGAGCACGAGAAAGAAGCUCUGCAAAACAGUCCUCUUUCAGGGCUUUUAGCUCAUUUAAACUUUCAUGAGCAACUUUGUGUAAAUAUGGUUUGGUUUGUGUCAUGUUCUUGUGUUUAACUUGAACAUUUACAUUUUUUAUAUAGAUAUAGAUGUUGAUUUUCAUUUUUUACGACAUAGAUAUAGAUAUUCAUUUUUACUGAUAUAUAACUUCUGUCUAUGUAUAAUGUAUUGUUUCUUCAUUUUUCAACUUAUUAAAAUAGCUGAG